AACCAGGGACUUGUUAUUUUCUUACAAUUCUGAAGUCUUGAAGUCCAAGAUCAAAGUGUCAGCAAUGCCAGAUCCAAGCCAUGUCUGUGACCUACACCACAGCUCACAGCAACACCAGAUCCUUAACCCACUGAGCGAGGCCAGGGAUAGAACCCACAUCUUCAUGGUUCCUAGUCAGGUUAGUUACCGCUGAGCCAUGACGGGAAUUCUGAGAAACACUUUUUGAACACUUGUCUCAAGACUCUUUGUACAUCUGUCAAGGCCACGAUGUAAAGGAACACAUGAGGUCAUAGGAAGGAUAAAACAUUCACACAGUGAACUGAAGUGUGAAGGAGAGUGUCGGGAGUCUAAUCACCACCAGCACUCUUGCACUUUCUCCAUGUAAUGCAGCAGGAUCAGAACUUUGAAUGCUUUAUUCAUUUAAAGCCCAUGAUAACCUGUAGGAGGUUCGUGCGAUUAUUUAUCUUCAUUUGCAGAUGAAGGUGCCGAGGCACACAGGUCUCAAAGAGGGUAAGGAGUGGAGCUAGAAUUCAAAGUCCAGUGAGUCUGGAUCCAGGUCCCAAGCUUUUAACUACUAAGCAUGUCACAGUACACUGUGCAGUGCCUCUAGCCUGUGGGGUCCCAAGAGACAAGCACAGCAAGUGUUUUCAGGAUCAGAGAUAGGAGAGUGUUCUUUUCGCUGGAAUAAGAUGGGCAGAAUGAGGGCAGUAUCAGGGAGGACUUCAUGGAAGAGGGUCCAUUCUUGCCUAAACUUGAGAAAUGAGCAUUUGGAUGCAUGGAGAUGGAGGGCCCAAGAGACUGAAGAGAAAUUGUCUAUCAAAUGUUGGCCAAGAGUUAGCCCUGACCUUUGCCAACUUACAUUAGGUUAAACAUGCUUCUGCCCCCAGCCCUACACUUUGCUGGGUUUUGAAUGUCAUAACUGUACAUACAUUUAUGAAAGAACCCUCUGCAUCUCUGUCUCUUGAAAUCUGAUGCCCAGUGCUGGCGCAGUGCAACCUGUAAUCCUAAACAUCACUCUGGGACUGACCUCAGUGGGACAUUUCUCCUUCCCUCUCACCCAUGACCUUGAAACCAAAGGCUGCUGCAUUCAAGUGCAAUGAAGGUGUGUGGAUUACGCUGCCAGUGGUACCUGGGAUGAACCCUACUUGGAACUGGGGAAGCUUGAGCUGUAGAGGUGGAACAGAAACACCUCUGACUCGAAUCCAGCCGAAACCCAGAUUGGGUCUGGAACCCAUGUGCCAGAACCUACGUUUUUUUUUUGUUUUGUUUUGUUUUGUUUUGUUUUUUUAAUUAGAAUCACUCACCUGGCGUCUGGACUACUGAGGCUCAGGUUCUCUGUGUCUCAGCACAGACGGAAUUCAGUGAGAGACAAAGUGAUAGGUAAGAAAUAGAUUUAUUAAGAUAGGACACUUGUGAGGAAUACAAGCAGGCAGGCAAGAAGGCUCUGCCCUGAGGAUUAGGUAGGCUACGUUUUUAUGAUCCAAGGAAAGUGGGGAGGGGAGAAAGACCUCCUUCUUCCUCAUUUGUUGGGUAGACAUCAGGCUUAUAUCCCUAGAUCCUCCUUUGUUUUGGGUAAGAGUAUUUGACCCUAUGAGGUCAAACUAGGACUGUCAUGGUGCUUCUCCAAAUCAGCAGAAGGGUAGCAUAUUCAAAAAUAUAUUGAAUCAUCUCACGUUUCCACAUACUGAAGGUCUCCUACUUUGAAAUGUCAUCUUCCCUUAUAUUCCUGUCCUAAGAAUUACUGUUUUGCUGAACUUGAAUCCGGGCCUCAUUUUAUCUUUCGCUUAAUGACCUGAGGUGUAUCUCGUGCUUUUAUUUAUGGUUUUUUAGUUAAGCAAGCCUGCUUCAUUCCAUGAUGUUCAGUAGCUUCCUUGAGCGGUCAUUAACUUAGAGUGGUCUCCUGAAGUUCCCUAGGGUUCCCUCUCCAUCUAUGGUCCCCUACCGAGACGUCUGCAACUACCUGUGUUACUGUCCUACUUUAUCCCUAUCAGAGGCAUGUAGGAAAAAGAAAAGAGAUCAAGCCUAUGACAGUGGCACUUUCAGCUGCAAAGUCAGGAGCAUAUUUUUGUGCCAUAUACAGCACAUAGGUUUGAAUUUGUAACAAGACAACAUAGUUACAACUGUGCCUCUAGCGACGUCAUUUUUUUUUUUUUAGAACAAAAAAGAUUAUGUACACCAUUUUAUGGAGCUGUUCAAAGAUAGAACAUCUGGAGAAAUAUAUCAGAUUUCACAUUAAAAGCACUUUCAUCUGCUCAAUGGCAUUGCUGAUGAAAUGCUGUUAAACUAAUAGAUUUGGUUUAGACAAGGUAAAAGAUGCACUGAAAGAAUUCUGUAAAGCCACAAAAGAUCCUGAAAGAGUGAGCUGUAGUCUUGGAGUGAAAUAAUAUUAAUUUUGAAUUUUCAGUCACUAUACACUAUGAACUAUUGUUCACUGCUCUUAACAUUACAAAAAAUCAAAGUCAUCUAAAUUUGUCUAAUUUAAGAGGAUCAAAAUAUAUACGUAUUUUUGACUUUUAAAAUAGUUUUUAUUUUUAUUUUUAAAAUGAUUUUUUUUCCAUUAUAGCUGGUUUACAGUGUUCUGUCAAUUGUCUACUGUACAGCAAAGUGAACCAGUCACACAUACAUAGAGACAUUCUUUUUCUCACAUUAUCCUCCAUCAUGCUCCAGCAUAAGUAACUAGUUCCUAGUUUUAUACAGUGGGACAAAACAUUUUUACAAGAUUACAGAAACUGGCUUUCCUCAAUGAAAAUGCAUGUGAAAUAUGCAACAGAAAUAGCAUUCCAAUAAAAUAUAAAGGAUGAGAACAAUGAAACAAAAAUAUUUUGCAUGACUAAGAAGAAGAAAUUCACAUACAAAUAAUCCCAAACUAACUUGUUUGCAAACUAUUUUUUGGCCACUUUAGGUCAAAGUAUAGUCUUGAUUGAGGGAGGUCAGAACAAAUUGACCCACAUACUGCUUUUAGGGAAGUGUCCUCAUAAUAUUCCAGAAU
ensembl:lncRNA